rnacentral:rRNA from 1 species
GACGAACGCUGGCGGCGUGCUUAACACAUGCAAGUCGAACGGGAAGGCCCCUUUGGGGGUACUCGCGUGGCGAACGGGCGUAUAAAACUUGAGUAACCUGCCCUUCACUUCCGGAUAACUUCAGGUAACAGGGCCUAAUACCGGGUAGGAAACCUUGCAGCCUGGUGGGGGUUGGAUAGCUUCGGCGGUUUUGGAUGGAGGGGCGGCAUCUUACCUAGUUGGUGGGGUAGUGGCUUACCAAGGGUUUGACGGGUAGCCGGCCUGAGAGGGCGACCGGCCACAUUGGGACUGAGAUACGGCCCAGACUCCUACGGGAGGCAGCAGUGGGGAAUAUUGCACAAGGGGCGGGAGCCUGAUGCAGCAACGACGCCUGCGGGAUGACGGCCGUCGGGUUGUAAGCCGCUUUCAGCAGGGGCGAAGCUUGUGAUGACGGUACCUGCAGAAGAAGCACCGGCUAACUACGUG